rnacentral:lncRNA from 1 species
UUACGAUUGUCUAAACCUUCAAGAGAAUGCAAUUGAGAUGAAGAUCUUGAAGAAUGACAUGUUCUUCCCCAAAUAGAUGGCAAGAUACAACGCGUUGUCAUUUUACGUGAAGUCUUACUUGAGAAUGCACCGGGCACCAAGGUGUGGAAAGUAAAAAAAAUUACAACAAAAGGUCUUAAUAAUCCAAUAGGAUUAUAGAAAAAUUAUAAUUAAACUUUAACAAUCAUAAUCAAACAUUAAGCAAGCUCAAUUAAAUUUUAUUUAAGUUAUAAAAGAAACACAAAAAAAUCUUAAAGAAAUAUAAAAGAGUAUUAAAGAAAACUUAAUCAAAUCCUAAAAAAAUCUAAAAAAAUCUUAAAUUCUAACCAAAUCCUGAUCCUAAUCCAACCUUAAUCAAAUCCUAGACAAACCCUAAACUCUAAAUAUAUCCUAGUCAAAUUUUAGACAAAUCCUAACCCUAAUAAAUCCUAAUCAAUUCCAAAUCCUAAACAAAUCCUAAUCAAAUCCUAAAUAAAUC